AGAGUUUGAUCCUGGCUCAGAUUGAACGCUGGCGGCAGGCCUAACACAUGCAAGUCGAACGGUAACAGGAAGCAGCAUGCUGCUUCGCUGACGAGUGGCGGACGGGUGAGUAAUGUCUGGGAAACUGCCCGAUGGAGGGGGAUAACUACUGGAAACGGUAGCUAAUACCGCAUAACGUCGCAAGACCAAAGAGGGGGACCUUCGGGCCUCUUACCAUCGGAUGUGCCCAGAUGGGAUUAGCUAGUUGGUGAGGUAACGGCUCACCAAGGCGACGAUCCCUAGCUGGUCUGAGAGGAUGACCAGCCACACUGGAACUGAGACACGGUCCAGACUCCUACGGGAGGCAGCAGUGGGGAAUAUUGCACAAUGGGCGCAAGCCUGAUGCAGCCAUGCCGCGUGUAUGAAGAAGGCCUUCGGGUUGUAAAGUACUUUCAGCGGGGAGGAAGGGGAUGUGGUUAAUAACCGCGUUCACUGACGUUACCCGCAGAAGAAGCACCGGCUAACUCCGUGCCAGCAGCCGCGGUAAUA
rnacentral:rRNA from 1 species